UACAGAGGGUGCGAGCGUUAAUCGGAAUUACUGGGCGUAAAGCGCACGUAGGUGGCGACGUAUGUCGGUUGUGAAAGCCCCGGGCUCAACCUGGGAAUUGCAUCCGAAACUGCGUUGCUGGAGUACGGAAGAGGAAGGCGGAAUUCCCGGUGUAGCGGUGAAAUGCGUAGAUAUCGGGAGGAACAUCAGUGGCGAAGGCGGCCUUCUGGUCCAGUACUGACACUCAAGUGCGAAAGCGUGGGGAGCAAACAGG
rnacentral:rRNA from 1 species